GCGUUGGUGGUUCAGUGGUGGAAUCCUCGCCUUCCGUGUGAGAGACCCGGGUUCGAUUCCCAGCCAGUGCA